rnacentral:rRNA from 1 species
UACGUAGGGGGCUAGCGUUGUCCGGAUUUAUUGGCGUAAAGAGCGUGUAGGCGGCCAGGUAGGUCUGGUGUGAAAACUCGAGGCUUAACCUCGAGAUGUCAUCGGAAACCAUCUGGCUAGAGUCCGGAAGAGGAGAGUGGAAUUCCUGGUGUAGCGGUGAAAUGCGUAGAUAUCGAGAGGAACACCUGCGGCGAAGGCGGGUUGCUGGGCUGACACUGACGCUGAUGCGCGAAAGCCAGGGGAGCGAACGGG